GACAACGCCUGCCCUCGUGAGGCCCACCCUGCGCAGAGGCAAGUCUACCGGUCUAUGCCGAGACCCAUACGCAUCGGGCUUGCUUUGACCGAGCGAUGGAACCACGCAGUGCGUGUGUUCGGGAUUUUCCUGAUCUCAGGUCACCCACACAUUAACAGGACGGACAGUCAGGUCCCCUGGGCUGCGCAGGAGCCUCAAGGAGAGGUGAGAGUUCACUUCCUGGAGAAGCCGGCCCAGCUCACACGAGGGCUCUGCAGGGACAUCUUAGAACAUGCAGCUCAUACAAACAAAAAAACAGCACACCAAUGGAAAAAGUACCCUCGGGUGAAGAUUAAAUAAACAAACAGAAAACCAGCCAGACCCUCACUCAAGUGAGGUGGGGCCAGAGCACGCCCGCAGGAAGCUGUCAGCAUGUCCAGCGUGCGGCAGCGACGCGGACACUCACUCGCAGGACAGCGUCCACACAGCGGGAGCUUGCAGCCAUGCCCUCCGCUGCCUCCUCCCUCCUCCAUCUGACAGCCUCGUGAUGGCCCGAAGGCUGUUCCAGGGGCACAGGAAGCGGGGAGGAAGCCGCGAGUGCCGGUUCUAUCAGCAUCCAAAAGCCCAGCUACGCGUGGGGAUGCCUGGGAAGCCGCCCCGCGUCAGUGACGUCAGGACUGGGAAGCAUGCAGGCCUGCGAGGCGCUGUGCCUCUCCCCGGGGACGUGCAGAUGUGGCCCCAGCGGCCGGCUCUACCCGGCCCUGCCCUUCCCACCACCCUACACCCCCGGCGGCUCCCUGCCCGGGUCCUCAUCUUUGAUGGGUCAGUGAGAACACAGACCUCACGGGGCUAUUUUAAGGAUUGAAAAUUGUAACACACCUGUAGGGCUUUGCACCGGGAACAGGGCCUGGUAUGCCCUUGCCCUUGCCCCUGAGUUAGCAUCAGAGAGGCUGCGCCCACCCAGCGAGGAAGGGCGUUGUCUGUGCUUCCAGAAGCACCUUCUGAGCCCUGGAAGCUCGUUGGUGCCCCUUAUGCGGGGCGCAUACUGAAGGCGUUAGGAGCUGGGGAUUCAGAACCUACGAGGCUGCUCUGCUCCUGGCUCCGCCUUUGUGAGCUGCGAUGCUGGGCAGGGGGGAGGGACUCCGGGAACCCCGGGUGCUUGGAACGAGGCUGAGCCCUUCCCUGUUCUGAACUGUUUU